rnacentral:rRNA from 1 species
GUAGGUGAACCUGCGGAAGGAUCAUUGUCGAUGCCUGUCCAACGGAGAGACCCGCGAACGUGUUUCAUAAUCGUCGGGGGUAAGGGCGUGGGGGUGCGAGCCCCUUCCUCCCUGAACCUCGUAAGGUCGGUCCGCGAAUAUUCGUGGCGUCCGACCUACAACAAAACCACCGGCGCGAUGGGCGCCAAGGAACUCAACAACGGAAAAGGGCGUUCCCGUCACCUUGCCUUCGGCGUGGUGCGUGUCCGUCUUACGUCCGAAACUCAUUUACGACUCUCGGCAACGGAUAUCUCGGCUCUCGCAUCGAUGAAGAACGUAGCGAAAUGCGAUACUUGGUGUGAAUUGCAGAAUCCCGUGAACCAUCGAGUCUUUGAACGCAAGUUGCGCCCCAGGCCUUCGGGUCGAGGGCACGCCUGCCUGGGCGUCACGUAUCGUGUCGCCCCCCCUCCCCUCGCCCCUGUGGCGAAGGAGUUCGGGUCGGAGAUUGGCCCCCCGUGUCGCCAUCUUGAGGUGCGGUCGGCCCAAAGACAAGUCCCCCUGUGUGGCGAGCGUCACGUCGAGUGGUGGUCGAAGCCACUUUGCCCUUGGUUCGGACGUCGUGUGCGUGUUUCGCCCUCACGGGGGCUCCCGUAAUAACCCCGAUCACGUGUCGUCUUAUGACGGCAUCUUCGACCGCGACCCCAGGUCAGGCGGGGCCACCCGCUGAG